CCUCCCGGUGCCGCGGCGCCCCUCCAUUGGAUUAGAAAUCAUGCUCUCAGGACCCAGUUUCGUUUAAAGAUUUUAUUUACUUAUUCAUGAGAGACGCGCAGAGAGAGGCAGAGACACAGGCAGGGGGAGCAGCAGGCUCCACGCAGGGAGCCGACGCGGGACUCGAUCCCGGGUCUCCAGGAUCGCGCCCCGGGCUGCAGGCGGCGCCAAAACGCUGCGCCACCGCCGCUGCCCACGGUCCAGUUUCCUUCUUUUUCUUUCUUUUUUUUUUUUUUCAGGAUCCAGUUUCAAACAGGCUUUGGGAAAGCCGCUCGGAGAAGUUGGCUGUAGCUCACUCUCGGGCUUUCAGAACCACGGGGGGAACCUGGGCAGGUCCUGGGGCCGACCUCGAGCCCCACCAGAGCCGCCGCAGGAAGAGCCCUCGGGUGAGGACUCAGCGAGCUGCGGUGCCGUCACCCUCUUUCCUCCUUGCUCUGCAGGAAGGCACGUGCCGGGGGCCCGCGUGGCCUGCCGUGGGGCCUUUCUCCACAGCCCCCCACCCUGGGCCGGGCCCUCCUUUGAGGGAGAAGCCAGAGCCUGGGGCCACGCUUCUCGCUCGCCAGCCCUGGGCCCCGGAGCGCAGCUCGAGCUUGGGCCGGGCCCCUGCCUGCGCCGGCAGCCGAGGGGCAGUCAGCAAGCAGGCCUGGUCAGGGCCGGUCACCCGAGGCCAGCAGCGGCCACAGCCCUGCCUGGGACAGAGGCUAGUUCCGUGGACUCCUUCAUCAGGCCCAAGCCCACCGCCCCCAGAGGGGCCUGGCCUCAAGGCUCGGGAGCAGAGGGGGCCCUGUCCCCCAAGGAACUCACCAGUUCCCCAAGGAUGGCCGCUCUUUGCAUCCUCGGAGAUGCCUCAACAGAGAGACGUGGGGUGUCUGGAGGGGCCGGGGGGGUUGGUGGCCACAGGUGAGCAAGGUGAGCAGGGUGCGGGGAGGGGGGAGGAUGCCGGCAGUCAAGGAAACAGGGUUGGGUGUUUGGGGCACUGAUGUCACAGAAAGAUGGGUAGCAGGGGAGAGAAGGGCCUUGCUGGUCCUGCCGCCCUCUGAAGCCAGAGUUCAGACCUGAUGUGAUAAAAGUAGGGAACCAC
rnacentral:lncRNA from 12 species